rnacentral:lncRNA from 1 species
UUACUGCAAAAGUUACUUGGAACCAACCAGUAAAUAUAUAUAGACAUGAGAUGAAAAGAAAGACACAACAAGAAGAAGAGAAGAACAAGCUUUGUGUUUUCCUCUUUUGAAUUUUCUCAUCCCGCCUUUAUCUGCAUUAUGAUCUUCAAGGUAUUCUUUUUGAGGCUCUCAUGCAUCUUGAUGAUGGAUCAUCUAGUCUCUCUCUGUUUUUUUGCCUCUGUUUCAGUAAUUUCAUCUUGUGGGGUGUAUCAAAGUCUUCCCUUUUUCAACAUAU